AUUGAACGCUGGCGGCAUGCUUUACACAUGCAAGUCGAACGGCAGCGCGGGCUUCGGCCUGGCGGCGAGUGGCGAACGGGUGAGUAAUGCAUCGGAACGUGCCCAGUAGUGGGGGAUAGCCCGGCGAAAGCCGGAUUAAUACCGCAUACGACCUGAGGGUGAAAGCGGGGGACCGAAAGGCCUCGCGCUAUUGGAGCGGCCGAUGUCGGAUUAGCUAGUUGGUGGGGUAAAGGCUUACCAAGGCGACGAUCCGUAGCUGGUCUGAGAGGACGACCAGCCACACUGGGACUGAGACACGGCCCAGACUCCUACGGGAGGCAGCAGUGGGGAAUUUUGGACAAUGGGGGCAACCCUGAUCCAGCCAUGCCGCGUGCGGGAAGAAGGCCUUCGGGUUGUAAACCGCUUUUGUUCGGGAAGAAAUCCUCUGGGCUAAUACCCCGGGGGGAUGACGGUACCGGAAGAAUAAGCACCGGUUAACUACGUG
rnacentral:rRNA from 1 species